AAAGCUAUAGUAAUGGCUGACAUAAAGUUGAGUUCUGCAGUUGGUGCCUUUGAGGUUAAGGAAUAAAAAUGUCCUGAUAUAGCAUUGUCUAGACCGGACUUCUGUCUUUAACCCUUAGUACUCUAAAUUGUCACUGACAUGGAUCCUGUGGUGUCUUGUUGUCGUGGUUAAAUCUGUGAAUGAGGUUAAAAAUAAAUAUUUAAUUCUGGGAAACAAGAGUGCAAUAAUUGCAUUUCCGUAAAGUGCAAAAUUUGAUGAAAUUAUGUGGAUUCAGUUCAGUACUGUAAGAGAAAUAUCACUACAAAACUUUAUUUUGAGCGUCUCUUUUAGAAAACCCAACUAGUGAGAAAUCCAAGUUGGCAAACCAUGCUACAGCUUCCUUCUUUCUUCUCCUUGUUUAAAAACAAAAAUAAGUGGAUUCUGUCUUAUUGUGGGAUGAUAAUGCGAUGCAGUGGUUUAACACCUGGUAGGAACUUGGCCCUCCCUUGCUUUUAUAAAACACAGAAAUAUCCUCCUGGCUCCUGAAUCCAGACUCUCGGCUCCAGUGAGCAAGAGGAGUUCCUAGUGGUUUUGGUACUUGAAAAACCAAAGCCAUGAAUUCAACAGAACUUCCUUCAGGUCACUAUUCAGGAGCUACUCAAGUGGCAUUGUUGGCAGAUGGGAGGAUAAAGAGGACGAACCUGGAGCAAACAAAGAUAACCUUGGAAAUUUUUAAAUUAUUUUUUUAAACAACUGAAGGCAACAACAGCAGGAAAACAACAACAACAGAAAACAGCCCAAGAAAGCUGAGGCUUUGAGAAUGUGUCCGGCUAAAGGGAGCGUUUUUCCUAAGAAAGACACAGUCCCAAUAUUGAAUGUGAUGUGCCUAUGAUUUUUACCAGGGAAGAGGAGGGCAGGGCAUGGAGGGCCUAUAACAAGUUAUUGCCGAAAUUGCUUUUGCUUGCUGAACAGAAAGCUUCCUGAAUAUUGUGUGUUGAAUAUAUGUUUAUUGCUUAAGUCUAUUUCACAUAUGUUAUUUAUUUAUAAUUUUAAAGAUAAUUUAAUAUGUAAAACAUCCUCUGCUGAAAUGUGGGUAUUAAUUUCCAAGCUUCAUUUUUUGCACUUACGGCUGAUGGAUUGUUAUGAGUCAGAACUAAUAAACUUGUAAGGAUUAAUAGAAUAUUGGUCUGAAAGAAAAGGCAGUGUCUUUAUGGUUGCCAUGUAAGUGCUGCCGGAAAGGCUGGGCCGCAGGAAGAGGCUGCUGUGCUCCCGUCUUGCUGAGACAGGGGGUGAGGGGCAGCAGGGGAGAACAGUGAAAUGCAUGAUUAAUACCGUCUAAUUGAGUGGAUAUCGGCAGCAGUACAUUGCCCAGGACAUUGAGUGGCUGGCAAAGCCAAGAUCUUUUGCAAAACAUGUUUACAGUCUCCUGGGAGUGCCAGUCUGUAGACGGGGCCAGGUGAUGCUAAGGAAACCUGGCCUUGUUGAAACAAACCAGGCACAAGAUUCAACAAGCAGAAAAUCGCUCUGUGCCUUAGGGUUUAUUUUCUUUCUGCAGAUAAAAAAUCUGCACUCCACCUAUGUUACAAAGUGUUGUUAGAGCAAAGAGUGUUGGAAAACAGCAUCAGCAGCUCGCCCGCUCUCCUCCGCCUUGAGGGAAGAAUGCUGUGAGUUGAGUUUGGGUUGUUCCCUACCCCUUGAGGAGUGGCCCUCCGGCAGCUGAGGGCCACGAGCUGCACAGGCGUCCCCCGCAGCACGGAGAGCCGCAUGGCUCCCAUUUGUCUUCCGGUGGAAGUGGAGUACAUUUCCCAGAGUCAGAAACGAAUAGAGCAAGCUCAUCUUUCAGGCCUGCCUCUGUCAUACAGAGGCCACAGGUUUUCGUGGAUCAGGUGCUCAUCCCAGGUUCAGCUGGCUGUGAUCAAAGGGAGAUGGCCUCAUGGACAAAACUUGGGGAAUUUGCUCAUUUCCCUUAAAAUGCCAAUAUGGGAAAUCAGCACUGCUGGUGAAAGUUUGAAACAAGAUUGGUGUCAGAUUAUCUCUUCCGAUUGUUUGUCAGUCAUGUAAGCACAUUUUAAAGGAAAUUUUGGUCACAGUUUUCUAAAAAUAAUGAAUUUGGAAUUUGUGGUCAUUUUAGCUUUUUGGUUAUUUCCUUGGCCUAGGAAGACUUGGUUCGAAAAUAGUGUCUAUUGGUAUUGAAAUAAACAAUUUGCAUGGGGUAUUUAAAACUCUUAACAAGCUGUUUUUCAGCUACCCUCAAGCACUUUAGAAGCACUCAUUUAUAUGUAAACAAUCAAUAUGCUAAUUAAAAAUACACCUUAUCUAUUUAUUAAAGCACUUAACUGAGUCCAAGUCCCUUAGCUAAGCAACAGUUGGUUAACCUGAGCUUGAGGUAUUGCAUAAUCUUGAGAUCAAUGAAAUUUAGCUUUUCUUGUUGUUGUUAAAGUACCAUUGAUAUACAAUCUUAUGUUGGUUGCAGAUAUACAACACAGCGGUCCGACAGUUACCCAUAUUAUUAAAUCCUCACCCCCUCUAGUGUGGCCACUAUCUGUCAGAAACUUAACUUCUUUUAAAGGAUUUUAUAAUUUAGUCUUCCCACAUCAUGACAUUUCUUCAUUUCCAGUCAGUGUGAAUUAGAGAGAAAUAUCAAAAAGUUCCAAGAUAUCAAAAAAAUACCAAGACAACAAAAAUCUGUAAUUUAAGUAAGGAAGUAAUUCAUGUGUAAGUUAAGCAAUGAAAAUCUGAGCCUAGAGACAGGUGUUAUAUGGGAAAUCUCUGAACCUUUCGCCUCAGUUUUGCUGUGAACCUUAAACUAUUAUAAAAAAAUAAUAAAAUUUUAAUAAUUAAAAAAA